rnacentral:lncRNA from 1 species
AUGCCUCAGCACAAGCCAGAUUUUCAGAAGGAACCUGAAUCCAGCUCCAAACCUGAAAUGCGAGUCCCUGGCUGCCAGUCCAGGGCUUUGGCAGUCCCUCCUUUUCUCCAAUGGAAGAUUGUGUCUGACUGCGCCGGCUCCUCUGUUUCCAGCUCAGAUUUAAACAGGGAAGCAGCAAUGCCAUCCCUCCCAGGGGUUAUUUGUCCCUUCUCAUGGCCAGCUUGCCAGGCCUUUUUUCCUGCAGUCUUUCCCAUUUCUCAAGCCUCCCCCCACCCCGAGAGGCCCUGGCCCCACCACCCGAGCACUGCCCUGUGCUUAGCCUUAUGGUGCAAGUGCAGUGCUGACGGCAAAGAGCUGCCGCGGUGCGAUGCGAAACGCCUGCCCUCUGGCCUUUGGCUCAGCCUGCCCUUGUCACCGAAGCGUUUCCUCUCUACCGCUCGUCAAGCUGUUGCACCAGCAAAGCAGAACCUAAUCGUUUCCCCUGUUUCCUGGUGCGUGCAUACCUUCACGCAUGAAACUGGCCGUUGUGCUCGGCAGACAGGUACACAAAAGGUCUUGCUGUUCACAGACGCCACGUUUCCACCUCCCUCCCCUCGGUCAGCCAACAAGACACUGGGAGCGGGAAAACACGCAUGCCAAAAAUAUCCAAGCCAGGGCAACAAGUGCAUCGUAACCCCUUGCAGUGUAGCUGGGGAGCUGCUCUAUUAUUCAUGGCCCAGGGCUGCUAGGGAAGCCCGCAGAGGCUAUGCGUCCAUCAGGGCUGCACAGGGCCUUGCAGGCCAGCUGCGUGCACAGCAGCACUGUCAGCACAGCCCUGGCGGUUUGCUCACACCCCCGCUGCCCAGGGAGCUCCGGCCCUUGCUGGCCUGCUUUGCCCCCCCUGGGCUUGCCUCUUCCCCCUCUGAGGCUGCGAGGUGGGAAGGAGCCACCACCAUUAGUCUCCCGGAGAGGAGAGCAGAGCCGAGCGGAGCAGGCCGGCAGGGUGUUCCCACAGCCGGGUUUGCACGGUUUGGAAGAAACAUUGCUUUCUUCACCAGCACGUGCAACGCAAGCCGCGCAAGGCGCAGUUAUCAAACGCCUUCCGUAACAACCCUUACGAACCACUCCCAGCUCGGCUGUUAA